GUGCUCGCUUCCGCAACACAUACACUAAAAUUGGAACAAUGCAGGGAAGACUGGCAUGGCCCCUAUGCAAGGAUGGCAUGCAAAUUUGUGAAGGUUUCCAAUUUUUU
ensembl:snRNA U6 U6 spliceosomal RNA